rnacentral:rRNA from 1 species
UACGGAGGGUGCUAGCGUUGUUCGGAAUUACUGGGCGUAAAGGGCGCGUAGGCGGCCGUUUGCGUCGGAUGUGAAAGCCCGGAGCUCAACUUCGGAACUGCCUUUGAUACAGCACGUCUUGAGUCCGAUAGAGGUGGGUGGAAUUCCUAGUGUAGAGGUGAAAUUCGUAGAUAUUAGGAAGAACACCGGUGGCGAAGGCGGCCCACUGGAUCGGUACUGACGCUGAGGUGCGAAAGCGUGGGGAGCAAACAGG